rnacentral:rRNA from 1 species
CAGCCGCCGCGGUAAUACGAGGGGUGCGAGCGUUAAUCGGAAUUACUGGGCGUAAAGCGUGCGCAGGCGGUUCGUUAAGACAGAUGUGAAAUCCCCGGGCUUAACCUGGGAACUGCAUUUGUGACUGGCGAGCUAGAGUAUGGCAGAGGGGGGUAGAAUUCCACGUGUAGCAGUGAAAUGCGUAGAGAUGUGGAGGAAUACCGAUGGCGAAGGCAGCCCCCUGGGCCAAUACUGACGCUCAUGCACGAAAGCGUGGGGAGCAAACAGGAUUAGAUACCCCCGUAGUCCCUGUCUCUUAUAC